UCCGUGAAUUUAUGCUACGUAUGUAGACAGCAAACGACGACUCCGCUGCGAUGAAGACGAACUGCACACUCCGUCCGUAAACUGCCGUCGACUCUUUCUGUGGCUUCUUCGAAUUGUGGUCUGCUGCUGUACAGACAAAUUAAUUGAAUUAGAGGGUUCUAAGGGAUAACGAGUUGGAGCUUUCGAAGAUGGCAGAAACUCGUAGAAUCUCCCGCGGCCCCCAAUCAAGCUUGUAGACAAAAAUUUAAUGACCCUUGUGGGCAAGAUGGCAGAAACUCGUAGAAUCUCCCCCAAUCAAGCUAGUAGACAAAAAUUCAAUGACCCGUGUGGGCAAAUAUAUGCGAUGUACGGACAUAUGAAAUAAUAUAUGCACGUAGGUUCAAUUCCUACUGGAUGCACGCAAUCAGGACCUUGGAAUCUCAUCCAUACAUAACGAAUUGAUGUCACAUAACACAAUUCAGAUCCA